CACCUUCGGGUGAGUGGCGGACGGGUGAGUAACGCGUGGGAACGUGCCCUUUGGUUCGGAACAACACAGGGAAACUUGUGCUAAUACCGAAUGUGCCCUUCGGGGGAAAGAUUUAUCGCCAUUGGAGCGGCCCGCGUUGGAUUAGGUAGUUGGUGAGGUAAAGGCUCACCAAGCCUACGAUCCAUAGCUGGUCUGAGAGGAUGAUCAGCCACACUGGGACUGAGACACGGCCCAG
rnacentral:rRNA from 1 species